UGGAAGACAGCAUCGUUGCCAAUGAUGAUCAAGAAUGAGCAAUACAUUUUUUUAUUUAAAAAAAUCAGAUAUGGCCAUAUUGUUUUUCGUGACCAAAGUGCAUGUUUUGUUAUUAUUGCCAUAUACCGUAAACUAGAUGCAUUCUGGGAUAGUGUCAACAUGGCAGCCUGGGUGUUGUUCAAGCUUGUAGCCAAAGAACUAACCCUGUUGUACACUUCUGAGCAAAGUGCUCAGUUUAUUUGCAUUUUGUUACAUUUCCGUGAACAAAUGUUUCAACACCACAGCAACACAAGAUUUAUGGAGACAGCCACGUUAGGACAACUUGCUAGUCGACUAAUGCCGGUAGUCAGCUGAUCAGAUCACGGCUAUACACAACACAAUUAGCCAAUGCAGGCAACUUCUCUGGACAGCCUAGUAAAGCUGCUGGACAUAUCUGGGGUCUGGCUCAACGAGCAGUCCGCAAAUCGGCCUGCCGGACGUCAAGACUAAGGGGCAGUGCUGAAGUUCAUCCUGUCGACUGGCAUAUCCUCUGGGAGUUUGUCAAACCCCAGCUCUUUGCCCUUCUUGGUGCUGUCAUGCUUGCUUUUGGUGCUGCCAUCUUGAACACUCAAAUUCCCCUGUUGGGCAAUCUGGUGAACAGAGUGGCAUGCUACAUGAGAGAACAUACUGGGAAUUACAUGAGCGAUGAGGGAACCUGCUCUGAAGUCGCUGAUCUCCAAAUAAGUUGUCUAUGAUCUAAUUUCAGUGUGUCAAAUCAGAGGGCAUGUUGCCCGGUCCUCUGGCAGUCUCUAUGGGGGUGCCACAGGGUUCAAUUCUCGGGCCGACUCUUUUUUCUGUAUAUAUCAAUGAUGUUGCUCUUGUUGCGGGAGAUUCCCUGAUCCACCUCUACGCAGACGACACCAUUCUGUAUACUUCUGGUCCUUCCUUGGACACUGUGCUAUCUAACCUCCAAACGAGCUUCAAUGCCAUAAAACACUCCUUCCGUGGCCUCCAACUGCUCUUAAACGCUAGUAAAACCAAAUGCAUGCUUUUCAACCGUUCGCUGCCUGCACCCGCACGCCCGACUAGCAUCACCACCCUGGAUGGUUCCGACCUAGAAUAUGUGGACAUCUAUAAGUACCUAGAUGUCUGGCUAGACUGUAAACUCUCCUUCCAGACUCAUAUCAAACAUCUCCAAUCCAAAAUCAAAUCUAGAAUCGGCUUUCUAUUUCGCAACAAAGCCUCCUUCACUCACGCCGCCAAACUUACCCGAGUAAAACUGACUAUCCUACCGAUCCUCGACUUCGGCGAUGUCAUCUACAAAAUGGCUUCCAAUACUCUACUCAGCAAACUGGAUGCAGUUUAUCACAGUGCCAUCCACUUUGUUACUAAAGCACCUUAUACCACCCACCACUGCGACCUGUAUGCUCUAGUCGGCUGGCCCUUUCUACAUAUUCGUUGCCAGACACACUGGCUCCAGGUCAUCUACAAGUCCAUGUUAGGUAAAGCUCCGCCUUAUCUCAGUUCACUGGUCACGAUGGCAACACCCACCCGUAGCACGCACUCCAGCAGGUGUAUCUCACUGAUCAUCCCUAAAGCCAACACCUCAUUUGGCCGCCUUUCCUUCCAGUUCUCUGCUGCCUGUGACUGGAACGAAUUGCAAAAAUUGUUGAAGUUGGAGACUUUUAUCUCCCUCACCAACUUUAAACAUAUGCUAUCUGAGCAGCUAACCGAUCGCUGCAGCUAUACAUAGUCCAUCGGUAAAUAGCCCACCCAAUUUACCUACCUCAUCCCCAUACUGUUUUUAUUUAUUUACUUUUCUGCUCUUUUGCACACCAGUAUCUCUACCUGCACAUGUUCAUCUGAUCAUUUAUCACUCCAGUGUUAAUCUGCUAAAUUUUAAUUAUUUGCCUACCUCCUCAUGCCUUUUGCACACAAUGUAUAUAGACUCUUUUUUAAAUGAUUUUUUAUAUAUUUUUUUCUACUGUGUUAUUGACUUGUUUAUUGUUUAAUCCAUGUGUAACUCUGUGUUGCUGUCUGGUCACACUGCUAUGCUUUAUCUUGGCCAGGUCACAGUUGUAAAUGAGAACUUGUUCUCAACUAGCCUACCUGGUUAAAUAAAUGUGAAAUUAAAAAAUGUAAUUAAAAAUUUGAAUUUAACUGUAGAUUGAAGAAUCUAUAUCAUGUCAAAUACAUAGUAAAACAUAUGGUCAUGAAAUAUAUUUGCUGGUUACAGCGUCCUGCUUUCUAGGGAAGGGGAGCGAGUAGCAGCAGACAUGGUUGGUGAGAGCCCUCGGCUCUGGGGCCCGUGUUUUCGAGUACUUGUCUUUGGAGCGUCCAUUUCCACGGACGGGGUGCAGCCGCAUCCCUGACAAAUCUCUGACAGGAUGGGUGUACUUCAUGAAAGUCACCUUCAGUUACCCAAUUGAUACCUGGCCAACAGAUCCUGAAGAACUUCAACCUCAUCAUCCCCCUCUCUAAGACUGUCGCUAUCGUUGGAGAAUCAGGAGGAGUUAUGGCUCUCCUACACUGCUAUGAAGUCUACAGUGGCCUCCUUGCUGGAGCUUUCCUUUGACCCCAGCAGUGGUGUGAUCAUGUUGGAUGGCCUGGAUAUCCGGACACUGGACCCAUCUCAGAGGACAAGUCAUUUGAUUCAUCAUUCAGGACACUGUGCUGUGAUGGAGAACAUUUUCUUUGGUAAGCGGGGGCUACUGAUGCUAAGGUCAUUAAUGCUGCCAAGCAGGCCAACGACAACCGCUUCCUCACAGGCUUUCCAGAGGGAUUACAACCCUGUGGUGGGUAUCUUCUCUUCCUAGGCUGGAAUUGCUGAGCAAAGGAGGGCUGCUGACAUCAUCUGCAGGCAGAGAUCAGAGGGAUAGAUGUGAACAGUACUUUGCAGCGCUGCCAACUCUCACUUGAUUAGCCGUGAGAUAAAAGCACGCAUUUGACCCACUUUUCACGCUCUCUUAUAUCUCACAAAUUGUAAAGUACUGCUUUUAUUUUUCAAAUUUGUCCAUUGUAUAGUCAGCACGUUAACUUUUCGACUGUGCUCCAAAUUCUUUUGAAAUCGGAGCAUCUGCGCCUGCAAUUUAACAUCAGGAGCGGAAUCUCUAUCAUUGUACUAUCAUUGUCCUGUCUUGCCACAGCACUGUGAACCGCUUCCCAUUGAAGCAUAUGAUUGGUCUAGUUAUGUAAAGGAUCAAGGUGAUUGGAUGCAUGUUUUAAAGAAACACCCCUCAAGAUUAGAGUGGAGCUGAAUGGAGAGAGAAAAUUAUCUACUGAGUUUAUAAAACUGCUGUUACUCCCGUUUUAUGGCAGAAUGCAGUCUUCUGACAGCAUGUACUAAAGUCGAGUUAAUCCACACUUGCAUUAGUCCCCUCGAUUGGUGAUUGGCAUUUAGGCUGUGACAACAAAAAGGCAGCAGACAGACCUACAGUAUGUUUUAGCAAGGAAGUUUGGUAGGAUGACUUGUUUUGUAAUUAUGAAAAUCAUUUUGUCAAACCAGAUUUUGAACCCAAACUUGUAAGUUUGAUUCUAGAAGGGCAACGUUAAAUAUAAAAUAAUUUGGGUAGAGUGUAGGGGCAGAUUAAUGUCAUAUUGUCUUCAGGAGAUUUUAUUAGCUAUUUACUUAGUUUAGUCUGAUUCAAUAGAACAAUUCUCAUUCUAAACAAUGAGCUAAAAUAUUGGGUAAUUACUGUGCUUGUCAGCAAGAACACUACUGUUAUUCCCCACACUUAUUUUAAUAUUCCACUAAUCACAUAUUUGAAAUCUGAUAUGACGACAGUGCAUUCGGAUAGUAUGACUUUUUCCACAUUUUGUUACCUUACAGCAUUCUUCUAAAAUUGAUACAUUUGUUUUUCCUCUUAUCAAUCUACAUACAAUACCGCAUAAUGACAAAGCAGAAACAGGUUUGAAUUUUUUGGGGAAAAUGUAUUAAAAACUGAAAUAUCACAUUUACAUAA